AUACCAAUAUUUUUCCAUGAAAAACAUUUAGAAGAUUUGACAACUAAAGAAUAUAUUUCCUUGGAAAAAGAAAAUGAAAAUCAGUUUGCUUCAUUAGAUCCUGAUCAGAAUGAUAUAGCAAGUGAAACAGCCAGCAAUUCUGUGGCUGGCUGUUCCAGAUUUAUAGAAAAUGAGAAAUUGCUGAGCUUUGAGAGCCUUGAAGAAUGUUCUACAGAUUAUGAUAUUGGAGAUGAAGAGUUCUGUGAUGACCAAUUGGAAGCAUAUUUUGAACAGCUUGUAUUGCCAGAAAUUGAAGAUACAGAGGAACAUGGGGACUAUAUUAAAAGCAUGGAAUUACCUCCAGAACAGG